UCUUUCUUUUCUUUUUUUUUUUUUUUACAUCCAUAUUUACACAAAUUCAAAAUAAUUACAAGGAUUACCUUAAUUAAUUUAAAAUUUACAAAAAUAGACCUAAAACUCUAAAAAAACUAUUCUGGGAAGCAUUCUGAUUCUGCUGAACGUUGGCGGCGCGUCUCCCCACGCGCCGCCGCCACUGGCGGCGCGUGGGUUCACGCGCCGCCGAAGGAAAAAACACAGCAACAGGGGGAGAUCGUCUUCUCCCACUCAUCCUUUCGUCGCCCCUGCAAAGCAAACCUCAACACACAGCAAGCAAUUGAUUUUAAUUUUUGUUUCCUUUGUUUUCGAAAUCUGCUUCGUUUCCUCUUUUUAGAUCUGCCCCUUUCGUUUCUCUGCCUCCUCUCUUCUCCGUUAGAUCUGCUUCGCUGUGUUCGGGUGGCCGUUGGUGGAGGC
rnacentral:lncRNA from 1 species